rnacentral:lncRNA from 1 species
AAACUACUGUUAUGUAACAUCUGAUAAUCACUAAAGUACAAAACAUAAGGAAACUACUGCUUCACGUUCUACUGUUGUAGCCUUAGCACAGAUGUUGAGUCUUCAGUGCUUUCUUCAAAGGUGAUCAGUCUUUGAGAGGGCAGUGCUUGAAUCUUCAGCAGUACUUAGGAGACGGCAGUAGAUAGAGCAACAGAGUUUGUCUUCAGCAGUUGUUAGAUAAUCAUCAGAGUUUGGUUUAUCAGUUGUUGUAUUUGAGCAGCACUUUAAGAUUCAUCAGUUGUUGGAUAACCACUGUCAAGGGGAAAGAUUAGAGCAAACUGCUGCUUAUUAAGUGUCCACUGAUGGGAUCCGGUUUUGGCUUUACAUUAUCUGUUCCUCUGUUAGGGUUCAAUCC